rnacentral:rRNA from 1 species
CCUACGGGAGGCUGCAGUGGGGAAUAUUGGGCAAUGGAGGAAACUCUGACCCAGCAACGCCGCGUGAAGGAUGAAGGUUUUCGGAUUGUAAACUUCUGUUGCGAGGGAUGAAGAAUGACGGUACCUCGUGAGGAAGCCCUGGCAAACUACGUGCCAGCAGCCGCGGUAAUACGUAGGGGGCAAGCGUUGUCCGGAAUGACUGGGUGUAAAGGGAGCGUAGACGGUGAUGUAAGUCUGGAGUGAAAGGCGGGGGCCCAACCCCCGGACUGCUCUGGAAACUAUGUGACUGGAGUGCAGGAGAGGUGAGCGGAAUUCCUAGUGUAGCGGUGAAAUGCGUAGAUAUUAGGAGGAACACCAGUGGCGAAGGCGGCUCACUGGACUGUAACUGACGUUGAGGCUCGAAAGCGUGGGGAGCAAACAGGAUUAGAUACCCUGGUAGUC